AAGGUAGUUCUCGGUCUCCGGUGCGGUCGCUCUUGCUGCUCUGAAAAAUGUUCAAGACCAUGUUCGACCUGCUGGAAGGAGCUCUGGAGGACCUGGGCGCGGAGAAGUUUAAGAAGUUCAUCAGUAAGAUGACGGACCCCGGGCUCGAGACGCGCGUGGCAAAGGGCGCCGUGGAGGGGAAGGACUGCGGGGACAUCGCGAACCUCCUGAUAGAGCACUUCACCGAGAGUCGCGCGCUGGAGAUCACCCUGCAGAUAAUGAGGAACAUCAAAGCGAAUCAGACCGCGGAGAAUCUAGAAAAAGAAGCUGCAGCUAAUGGAUUCUCGCCGUCUGCUGGAGCAGGUGGAUCAGCCGGCACAGCGACUCCAAAUCCAAAUCCAGGUAAACAGAUGUUUCUUAGUAUUUUAGACGUCUUCUAAAAAAAACCUACAUUUAUAUCAUAAUUAAAUUCAAUAUUUUUUUAUAUAAAGCUGACUGUGUUGAGAUGUUAGUAUAAAAAUAAUAAAGAAGUUUAAGAGAAAAUAGUAAAUGUAGGA
rnacentral:lncRNA from 1 species